rfam:Lasallia pustulata genome assembly, contig: scaffold14546_size1632
CUGAUGACCGUUGCCGCCACGGUAAUUCAACUUAGUACGAGAGGAACCGUUGAUUCAGAUAAUUGGUUUUUGCGGCUGUCCGACCGGGCAGUGCCGCGAAGCUACCAUCUGCUGGAUUAUGGCUGAACGCCUCUAAGUCAGAAUCCAUGCCGGGACGCGGCGAUUCGCCCCCGCACAUCGUAGUCGGAUACGAAUAGGCCUCCAGGCCCUGGACCUUAGCGGGCCGGCAGUGGCCCCCGGGUGGAAGGCCCGGGCGCCAGCCGGCGGAUUGCAAUUUCACCAUGCGCGGGGAUAAAUCCUUUGCACACGACUUAACGGACCGGCCGGGUCCUGUAAGCGGUAGAGUAGCCUUGUUGUUACGAUCCGCUGAGGGUAAUCCCGACGCCGGCUAGAUUUGU